rnacentral:rRNA from 1 species
ACGAACGCUGGCGGCGUGCUUCACACAUGCAAGUCGAACGGAAAGGCCCUGCUUUUGUGGGGUGCUCGAGUGGCGAACGGGUGAGUAACACGUGAGUAACCUGCCCUUGACUUUGGGAUAACUUCAGGAAACUGGGGCUAAUACCGGAUAGGAGCUCCUGCUGCAUGGUGGGGGUCGGAAAGUUUCGGCGGUUGGGGAUGGACUCGCGGCUUAUCAGCUUGUUGGUGGGGUAGUGGCUUACCAAGGCUUUGACGGGUAGCCGGCCUGAGAGGGUGACCGGCCACAUUGGGACUGAGAUACGGCCCAGACUCCUACGGGAGGCAGCAGUGGGGAAUAUUGCAUAAUGGGCGGAAGCCUGAUGCAGCAACGCCGCGUGCGGGAUGACGGCCUUCGGGUUGUAAACCGCUUUCGCCUGUGACGAAGCGUGAGUGACGGUAAUGGGUAAAGAAGCACCGGCUAACUACGUG